CAGGGAGAGCCCGGCGGUUCCAAGGUCCAGGGGCGUGCGUGCAGCCUGGACGCAGAGGAAGCCCCCAGCCCCGGCGCGGCCGGCGCGGCCGGGAGGCCCGUUCGCCAGCGACGACCAGCCGCUCCGGAGACCAGGUGGCACGUCCCGGGCUGCCCUCGCCAGGGGUCCGCGCGCCAGGGCAGACUCAGAGGGGCUCACUCAGCGCCUGGAUCUCCAUCCCCCCAGCUGCCCUCCUACAGGCCACCUUAGGCUGUCACUGAGACCCAUCAUAACACCCGCGGCCACAGACGGACAUGCUGUGCCACCAACGGUCUGGACUCUGGUCUCCUCCCAGACACCAUCCUUUUGUCGACACAGCCCAACAGGACUUGGCUUUCCUGGCAUCCACACGAACCUAAGUUUCCAGGAGAGGUGUUCUUGGCUGUCAUGUUUUUAUGUUGUUACUGUUGUUCGUUGAGCGCAAGUUACUAAGCCAAUCUCCCUCCCUGAACCUGUGAGGUCGACUUUUCGAAGAUGUUCGAAGAUAGGCCUGUUGUCUCACCUUGUCACGCUUGAUCCACCUUCCAAUCGAAGCAACAAAUUCUCAGCGAGUAGGUCACCAAAAUUCUGUGGCGUAAGAUGAGUGUGACUUUCCUAUUUCUACCCAUUCUUCCUGUUACUUUCAAAAAAGUGUUCUGGUGUCCACAGAGUCGAGAACCCAGCCCUGAAUUACUCAAGAGUAAGAACAAACCAAAACCCUUCCUUCACUUGAGCCCCCCCCCCAAAUCUAGUACACCGCUGCCCUUAAUCGUUCCUCCUUGGCCACCACUCACACAGGUGCUCCUUUUUCCUGGUCUCAGGAGCUACCCACAAGUUCUCAACACAUUUACACAAGACAAAAAUUCCCUUGCACACACCUGUCCCACCUCGUGCCAGCCUCUCCCGCGCUCCAGCGCGACUCAGCUGCCUCCUCCCUACACUCCGCUACUCUCUGUCCCCUCCGCCACCGGCUCACCCCUGGAACUACAGCAGGGUUUGCUCCAUAUUGGUCACUGAGCAGCUGGACAGUUGACCUGCAGCUUUGUGCUUGAAGCAAAUCCUCAUUUUCCCCUCAAGAGGAGCCCGGGAUGUUUAAGACAUGGUAAAUUCCAAAAUUUACUCAUUCCUCGGUGAGUUCCAAAAGAAACCACUUUCUCAACAGCCCCGGGCAUUUCUUUCCUUUCCCCCAGUUCCUUUUGGACCUUAGGGCAUUCACCUUGCUCCUCUUAUCAUCAGUUCGCUUCUUUCCUUUGGUGUUUUGCUACUUUCUUUUGUCUUUUGGGUUGUUAGACCUCGAGGCUUCUCAGAGUUUGGACUCUGAGAGCCUCGAAUUUAAUAUUGUUCGUCUCCAAGGACUAGUUUAGGCAUACCCCUUCGUCACAGCUCCUCCGUGUUUCCUCCCCACUUCUGUGGCCUGUGGCUUCUCCGUAACAAAAGGGACCCUCCACUGAGGGCGGAGGAUCCAAGUUGUUGUUGGCUGCAGAAAGGCGGCCUCUGGCUUGUGACCCUUCCAAAUGGUCAUGUGAUGAGUCAGUGUUUCUAUUAUUCUCCCAAAGGUCCCUUCGUGCAGAGGCCUGGGGUGAGUAGCUCAUCAGCGCCUACAUGGAAAGGAGCCACUCCAGCUGGCUGUAGCAAAGCUCCAAGGGCAACCUUUCACCCCUCGAGAGGUGAUUAAUCGUUUUUAAGAGGGGUUGUGGGAGUGUGGCGGGAGAACGUCAGUUUCCAAAGGAUUGCUGGAAUUCAAUCCAGAGUGAAUAUACCCAAGAUUAUAGCAAACAAAACAAAACUGCAAGGACUCCACAGCUCCCAAAGUCAAGACUGAAGCCACUGAUACGGAAGAACCUCCUUACUCAAGGUAGCAGGUCUCCGCGGCUGCAGGUCAGACCACGAAAAAGGGCCGGAAUAAUCCUCCCACCACAGUCUCUUUCUCACCUCCGCACCUUAGAGUCAAUCCUCCAUCUAGGAUUAAAUUUUUAAAAUAAUCACAAUCUGGAGACCGUUGCUUGACUGCCUCAUUAAAGCUGGUCUCUGGCAUGGGGGCAGGCCUUUUCAAUUCAAACCAUGACUUGAAGAAUUCAAAUCACAGUGUUGAGUUUCAAGUUCAAACUGUGGUUUUUUUUGAGAGAUGCUGAUUAUUUUUUCCCUUAAGACCCUUACUCCCCACCCUCAGAAAUCCCAGAAGAGGAAGGGGAAUAGAACAGUAAAGAAACACACGGAAUGCCUCCUAGGAAAGGAGACUUACUCCCGAAGACCCCCAAAGCGGAGAUGCUUCCUUGCCCUUUCUCUUUUAAGCUAGAAUCUCCCGAAACCACAGUUUGAACUUGAAACCACAAUUUUCCUGACACUGUAUCAAAGGCUGGUCUUAAAGGAGCCUGCCAAUAUGCCCAGGAUCAACCCUCCUCUCCACUGUUGGGACAGAGCAGCCUUUAUUCCCACUGGGUCACUGGUGGAAAUGUGGGCCCAGACACUGUGACCCACUGAGCCAAAAGAAGACAGGCUCUGUUUGCUGGACAGAAGGGUGAACCCUAAACGUGUCCUACUCCUGUAUUCUCAAACCCAAGGCGCCAAAGGUUUACCUGAUUAAACCAGAGGAAAUAAAAUCAGACUCCAAAGGGCAUGUGGCAACAGGAAGCUGGGAGGUGCAUGAGGAGCUCCUCGCCCCGGCCAAGGAGCAGCGCCUGGGGGCUGCUUGGCCGGAUGCUGUACACGUGUCUAAAAUGACACCAGGAAAGGGAGCCCAAGCAACCCCCAGGCCCAGCAGGUUACUAACAGAGGCGGCUGGGAAUCAAAUGGUGGCUACAGGGUCAAGAGCAAUCAAGGCCACUGAAUUUUGAAGACCUGACUCCCAUUAUCCUUGGGAUCCCACCAAAAACGAUCACGUGGCAAAGAAGACGCAGCUGUCGUUUCCCUCCUUGGGAACCGCUGUUGCAGCAGCAAAGGCAAGUGACUACAGCAGCUGCCGUAAAGGAGGGAAGGACUUUACACUGAACCGCUGCAGUGUGACCGGGUUGAUGCUGGGGAGCUGGGCAGCAGGAAGGAAAGCGGAAGCAAAUGGAUCUUUCUUCUUAGAUUCUACUUUAUUUGGUAAAACUCGGAAACUAACAACCAAUUCACGGCCCCCGACCUUCUUCUCUCGGAAGAAGGCCGUUCCCCAGAGACAAAAAAGGCUGUGGCUUGGGUAACACCCACCAUCUCCAGGUUUCAGACUCAGAGCAGCUCAUGGCCUGGUGGUCAGGCCUCCAGACCCAAAGCUCUCAGGCAAUAGAGAAAGCAAAAGGAAGCUCUCACUUCAGAGACAAUGACCCGUCCCACCCCCUUCCCCCCUCCCCACAGCCUCCCCACACCCCAACCUAAAUAAAAAGAUAGCAGAGGACAAUGCAUGAGUGUGAUACACACACACACACACAUACACACACACAUACACACACACACACACACACGCGCGCGCGCACACACAGAGCUUCUUUUCAGCCCAAGAGCUGCAAACUCCCUCCCUGGAAGGACAACCGGCAACACCAA